CAAUAGCGUAUAUUAAAGUUGUUGCAGUUAAAAAGCUCGUAGUUGGAUUUCUGGUGGGAGCGAUCGGUCUGGCGCUUAGCGCGAGUACUUGCAUCGUCUCCGGCCAUCCUUGGGGAGAGUCUGCCUGGCAUUAGGUUGUCGGGCAGAGGAUCCUCAUCGUUUACUGUGAAAAAAUUAGAGUGUUCAAAGCAGGCUUAUGCCGUUGAAUAUAUUAGCAUGGAAUAAUAAGAUAGGACUUUGGUACUAUUUUGUUGGUUUGCGCACCAAAGUAAUGAUUAAUAGGGACAGUUGGGGGUAUUCGUAUUCCGUUGUCAGAGGUGAAAUUCUUGGAUUUACGGAAGACGAACUACUGCGAAAGCAUUUACCAAGGAUGUUUUCAUUAA
rnacentral:rRNA from 1 species